rnacentral:rRNA from 1 species
AUUGAACGCUGGCGGCAGGCCUAACACAUGCAAGUCGGACGGUAGCACAGAGGAGCUUGCUCCUCGGGUGACGAGUGGCGGACGGGUGAGUAAUGUCUGGGGAUCUGCCCGAUAGAGGGGGAUAACCACUGGAAACGGUGGCUAAUACCGCAUAACGUCGCAAGACCAAAGAGGGGGACCUUCGGGCCUCUCACUAUCGGAUGAACCCAGAUGGGAUUAGCUAGUAGGCGGGGUAAUGGCCCACCUAGGCGACGAUCCCUAGCUGGUCUGAGAGGAUGACCAGCCACACUGGAACUGAGACACGGUCCAGACUCCUACGGGAGGCAGCAGUGGGGAAUAUUGCACAAUGGGCGCAAGCCUGAUGCAGCCAUGCCGCGUGUAUGAAGAAGGCCUUCGGGUUGUAAAGUACUUUCAGCGGGGAGGAAGGCGAUGUGGUUAAUAACCUUGUCGAUUGACGUUACCCGCAGAAGAAGCACCGGCUAACUCCGUGCCAGCCGCCGCAGUAA